rnacentral:rRNA from 1 species
AACGGCCAUACUAUGCUGAAUAUAACGGUUCUCGUUAGAUCACCGAAGUCAAGCAUCAUUGGGCGCGGUCAGUACUUGGGUGGGUGACCACCGGGGAACACCGCGUGCCGUU